rnacentral:rRNA from 1 species
GACGAACGCUGGCGGCGUGCUUAACACAUGCAAGUCGAACGGAAAGGCCUGCUUUCCCUUGUGGAUUGCGGGUACUCGAGUGGCGAACGGGUGAGUAACACGUGAGUGAUCUGCCCCCAACUUGGGUAUAAGCCUGGGAAACUGGGUCUAAUUCCCGAUAGGACUGCAGGGUGGUGCCUGUGGUGGAAAACGAUUUUCUAGUGGUUGGGGAUGAGCUCGCGGCCUAUCAGCUUGUUGGUGGGGUAAUGGCCUACCAAGGCGGCGACGGGUAGCCGGCCUGAGAGGGUGGGCCGGCGCGGUGGGACUGAGACACGGGGCAGGCGACACGGCGAAGCAGCAGUGGGGAAGAAGGCGCGAUGAGCAGAAGGCUGAGGCAGGGAGGCUGAGUGAGGGAUGCCGGGCUUGGGGUUAUAGCCUCCUUUCGGCCGCGAGGAAGCCACAUGGUUGGAGGGGUGGUGACGGUAGUGGUAGAAGAAGCACCGGCUAACUACGUG